UACGUAGGGUCCGAGCGUUGUCCGGAAUUACUGGGCGUAAAGAGCUCGUAGGUGGUUUGUCGCGUUGUUCGUGAAAACUCACAGCUUAACUGUGGGCGUGCGGGCGAUACGGGCAGACUGGAGUACUGCAGGGGAGACUGGAAUUCCUGGUGUAGCGGUGGAAUGCGCAGAUAUCAGGAGGAACACCGGUGGUGAAGGCGGGUCUCUGGGCAGUAACUGACGCUGAGGAGCGAAAGCGUGGGGAGCGAACAGG
rnacentral:rRNA from 1 species